CCUACGGGGGGCAGCAGUGAGGAAUAUUGCGCAAUGGGCGAAAGGCUGACGCAGCGACGCCGCGUGAGGGAUGAAGUCCGUUAGGAUGUAAACCUCUUUUGCAGGGGAUGAACGUCUCGCUAUACGCGGGAUUGACCGUACCCUGCGAAUAAGGAUCGGCUAACUACGUGCCAGCAGCCGCGGUAAUACGUAGGAUCCGAGCGUUGUCCGGAAUUACUGGGUGUAAAGGGCGUGUAGGUGGGUUCCUAAGUCGGUGGUGAAAUCCCGCAGCUUAACUGCGGAAUUGCCUUCGAUACUGGGGAUCUUGAGUGCGGCAGAGGGAGAUGGAAUUCAUGGUGUAGCGGUGAAAUGUGUAGAUAUCAUGAAGAACACCGGUAGCGAAGGCGGUCUCCUGGUCCGUAACUGACACUGAUGCGCGAAAGUGUGGGGAGCAAACAGGCUUAGAUACCCCGGUAGUC
rnacentral:rRNA from 1 species